UUUCACUUGAACCAGCCGACACCCACAAACUUCUUCACCUCCCUCACUCCCUUCACCCAAACAAAUAAGCACCGAGGUUCAUCUCUGCUCCCCCUCUCAAUUUAGUCAUCACACACAGACAUCAUCUAACCUUCCACCUCCCUAUUUCCUUCUUGCAAUUCUGGCGGUCGGAGUUAACACCGGCAACAGCUCCGAUCACCAGCCACAAUCACCCUACAACCCAUCUCUCUCUCACUACAACUUCCUGCUCCCUCUCGCUUUGAAGACGAAAUCGAACUCGCCAGAGAUUAGAGAACGGACAUACAUCGGAGGGACUCACCGGUGCCGACCGAAGUCGUUACGUCGGAGCUCGCGGCCAUUGUUAUUUCGGAUAUCCGUUUCGUUCGUUCAGUUCUCAAUCUUUUACUCGCGCAUUAUUGUACAAGGAAUCGCAAACGCAACCACUAUUAGCUAGCAUAUCGCAGAUCUUCUGAUCCUGUUUCAGGACUUGUGUGAUAAAUUCUUCUGCGUUAUUCUUGAAGUCUGAUGGAGGAGAAUGGAGGACUUCAUCAAGAAAUCCGAUGCUGCUCCAGGUCUAUUCUUCAAGAGUUGAAGAGGUGUUUUGAUGGACUGCACCUUGGUCUGCUCACAAGAGACCAGGUUUCCAGAAACCUGAUGGCGAUGCCGACGACUUCCGUUCGUGACCUAUGUGUUGCCAGUAAUAUAGAGUGCGGUGAUAGAGACCUGGAGUUCAUGACGAAUCUCAAGGAUAUACAUCGAGAGGUUCAGUACUCGAUGGAGUUGAAGCUAAAAUUUAUUAAUUCUUGCUGCUAGAUUUUAAAUUUCUGAUUGUUACUGUUAGAUUUGAAAAUUUCUUAGUUCAGUACUCGAUGUAAUUGUUACUGUUUU